AUGAUCUUGCACUUGUAUACUGUAGCACUAGCACCAGGCAACUUGGGGUUCAGUGUCUUGCCCAAUGAAACUUCGGCACGUGACUCGGUGAAACCAGGAAUCAAACCACCAAUGAUUGGUGGACGACAGUUCUGGACCACUGCUGCCCCGUUUUCACCCAUCCCCCGAUGGGAGCAGUGGGCUACCACAGUGCAGCGCUCUAGUGUGAUGGGUCUAACUCAAGGACAUACCUGAUGCACUGGGUGGGCUUUGAACCAGUGAACUUCUGCUCCCUAAGCCAACACUCUACCAACUGAGCCACAAAGCCAGUGCCAGAUAGUGAGGACAGCCACAGCUUCCAUCUGGUAGAGGACUGCUUCCGUUCAGAGUCUUCCAAAUAGUGAUGAGAACAAGGAUCAUUACAUCUGUCUACAACUAUGCCUGUCCUGCUGCAAAAACAAAUCUCCAACAUAACCAAGUGUACCCCCUACCCAGGACAUGGUCUGUUUACCCUACUUCCAUCAAGCAUUUCAUCUGCAAGGCCCUGCAAAAGCUUCUGUCCUCAAACCCCCAGACUUCUUAAUUAACUUAGUAACCUAUAAAUUGCACAUUGGAGUGUGAAGAUACAGUAACAGGUUGUUCCAGCUUCGGAGUAGUGGUGCAUUUUGUGAUUGACGAUAAAGUUGGCUAUGACUAAUAGUUGACUAUUAGCAAACUAGCCAUAAGAAAAAAACGUGUAAAUAUAAAUUAAAAAUUCAAUUAUUCAAAAAGAUUCUUUAUGAGUAUUGCAAAAAACACAUUUUUACUCAAAUGGUAAAUGAGUUAUUCCACGGGUGGUCUAAAUCCAACAUACAGUGAGUGUUUUAUCCAUCAGGAAACUACAACCCACGCAUGAAGAUAAUGCAACUCAGAUUCUUCCCCCCAGGAAUCCCCAGCACCAGCUCACUAGCAUCUGUAGACUGGAUACCUGUAACAACCUCAGAUACAGAGACAUAUUACUGUCAGGUUUAGCAAGAAUGAUCAAAAAAUGCGGGGUCACGGGGGUGCUGGAACCUAACCCAGCCAGCUAUGGGCGAGAGGCAGGGUACACCCUGGACGGGUCGCGAGUCCAUCGCAGGGCAAAUUUGAACCAAUGCUUUGUUUGUUUCCAGGUAGGUCAUGCAGUGAUUGCUCUGAAUAUUAAUGCACUUUCAUUCUUUAAGAGCAGCAGCACGAGCAAGACAAAAACAAUGUAAAAUGUAUUUAUAUCAUUUCAGCUGUUUUCUCAAACAUUUAUUUAUUUGUAUAAUGUAAGCUAAAGCAGUGUUUUCCAGGUUAGUCGUGUUAUGAAUAUUAAAGCUACAUAGGCCAUUUAGCAUAAGUGUUAGCAUUUGCAACCGCUAGUCGUUUUGCAAAUUACAUAAUCAAAUAAAUUGAAGUAAAUGCGACA
rnacentral:lncRNA from 1 species